rnacentral:rRNA from 1 species
AGCUCCAACAGUGUAUAUUAAAGUUGUUGCAGUUAAAAAGUUCGUAGUUGUGCUUCUGCUGAGGCCAAUCGGUCCAUCCUCUGGGUGUGUAUCUGGCUUGGCCUAGGCAUCCUCGUGGGGUGAUGCAGCUGCACUUGACUGUGCGGUGUCUCACCCUCGACUUUUACCUUGAGGAAAUUAGAGUGUUUCAAGCAGGCGUAUGCCCUGAAUACAUGAGCAUGGAAUAAAGAUAUGGAGCUUUGGUUCUUGCUUGUUGGUUUCCGGGGCCAUGGUGAUGGUUGAUAGGGAUAGCUGGGGGCAUUCGUAUUUGACUGUCAGAGGUGAAAUUCUUGGAUUUGUCAAAGUCGGACUACUGCGAAAGCACUUGCCAUGGAUGUUUUCA